GAUGAACGCUGGCGGCAUGCCUAAUACAUGCAAGUCGAACGAGAGGAAGGAAAGCUUGCUUUCCUGAAUCUAGUGGCGAACGGGUGAGUAACACGUAGGUAACCUGCCCAUGUGCCUGGGAUAACUUCUGGAAACGGAUGCUAAAACCGGAUAGGUAGCAGACAAGCAUUUGACUGCUAUUAAAGUGGCCUUGGCCAUGAACAUGGAUGGACCUGCGGUGCAUUAGCUGGUUGGUGAGGUAACGGCCCACCAAGGCGACGAUGCAUAGCCGGCCUGAGAGGGCGGACGGCCACAUGUGGACUUGAACACGGCCCAAACACCUACGGGAGGCAGCAGUAGGGAAUUUUCGUCAAUGGGGGGAAGCCUGAACGAGCAAUGCCGCGUGAGUGAGGAAGGUCUUCGGAUCGUAAAGCUCUGUUGUAAGAGAAAAACGGCACUCAUAGGGAACGAUGAGUGAGUGAUGGUAUCUUACCAGAAAGUCACGGCUAACUACGUGCCAGCCGCCGCAGUAA
rnacentral:rRNA from 1 species